rnacentral:rRNA from 1 species
CGGGUGAGUAACGCGUGAGGAACCUGCCUCAAAGAGGGGGACAACAGUUGGAAACGAUUGCUAAUACCGCAUAAGCGCACAGUACCACAUGGUACAGUGUGAAAAACUCCGGUGGUAUGAGAUGGACCCGCGUCUGAUUAGCUAGUUGGUGAGGUAACGGCCCACCAAGGCAACGAUCAGUAGCCGACCUGAGAGGGUGACCGGCCACAUUGGGACUGAGACACGGCCCAG